GCCAGGCAUGGUGGCACGUGCCUGUAAUCCCAGCAGCUCAGGAGGCUGAGGCAAGAAGAUCACAAGUUCAAAACCAGCCUCAGCAAAAGCAAGGCACUAAGCAACUCAGUGAGACCCUGUCUCUA
rnacentral:sRNA from 1 species